AUGGCUCAGAUUGAACGCUGGCGGAAUGCUUUACACAUGCAAGUCGAACGGUAGAGGGGGCAACCCCUCGAGAGUGGCGAACGGGUGAGUAAUAUAUCGGAACGUGCCCAGUCGUGGGGGAUAACGUAGCGAAAGUUACGCUAAUACCGCAUACGAUCUGAGGAUGAAAGCGGGGGACCGUAAGGCCUCGCGCGAUCGGAGCGGCCGAUGUCAGAUUAGGUAGUUGGUGGGGUAAAGGCUCACCAAGCCGACGAUCUGUAGCUGGUCUGAGAGGACGACCAGCCACACUGGGACUGAGACACGGCCCAGACUCCUACGGGAGGCAGCAGUGGGGAAUUUUGGACAAUGGGCGCAAGCCUGAUCCAGCAAUGCCGCGUGCAGGAAGAAGGCCUUCGGGUUGUAAACUGCUUUUGUACGGAGCGAAAAGGCCCUCUCUAAUACAGGGGGUUCAUGACGGUACCGUAAGAAUAAGCACCGGCUAACUACGUG
rnacentral:rRNA from 1 species